CCAGACUCCUACGGGAGGCAGCAGUGAGGAAUAUUGGUCAAUGGGCGGGAGCCUGAACCAGCCAAGUCGCGUGAGGGGUGACGGCCCUAUGGGUUGUAAACCUCUUUUGCCGGGGAGCAAAAAGCGGUACGUGUACCGCAUCGAGAGUACCCGGAGAAAAAGCAUCGGCUAACUCCGUGCCAGCAGCCGCGGUAAUACGGAGGAUGCGAGCGUUAUCCGGAUUUAUUGGGUUUAAAGGGUGCGCAGGCGGGGAGUUAAGUCAGGGGUAAAACCGCGGGGCUCAACCUCGCGCCGCCGUUGAAACUGGCGUUCUUGAGUGGGCGAGAAGUAUGCGGAAUGCGUGGUGUAGCGGUGAAAUGCAUAGAUAUCACGCAGAACUCCGAUUGCGAAGGCAGCAUACCGGCGCCCAACUGACGCUGAAGCACGAAAGCGUGGGUAUCGAACAGGAUUAGAUACCCUAGUAAGC
rnacentral:rRNA from 1 species